CUUGCUCUUUUCAGAAUUGAGUGGCAAACGGGUGAGUAACACGUAAACAACCUGCCUUCAGGAUGGGGACAACAGACGGAAACGACUGCUAAUACCGCAUAACAUAUAGGUGUCGCAUGGCACUUAUGUCAAAGAUUUAUCGCUGAAAGAUGGCCUCGCGUCUGAUUAGAUAGUUGGUGGGGUAACGGCCUACCAAGUCGACGAUCAGUAGCCGGACUGAGAGGUUGAACGGCCACAUUGGGACUGAGAUACGGCCCAGACUCC
rnacentral:rRNA from 1 species